GGCGGCAGGCCUCAUACAUGCAAGUCGAGCCGAGAAACCUUCCUUCGGGGAGGCGGACAGCGGCAGACGGGUGAGUAACGCGUGGGAACGUACCCUUUGGUUCGGAACAACUCCGGGAAACUGGAGCUAAUACCGAAUAAGCCCUCCGGGGGAAAGAUUUAUCGCCGAAGGAUCGGCCCGCGUCUGAUUAGCUAGUUGGUGGGGUAAUGGCCCACCAAGGCGACGAUCAGUAGCUGGUCUGAGAGGAUGAUCAGCAACACUGGGACUGAGACACGGCCCAGACUCCUACGGGAGGCAGCAGUAGGGAAUCUUGCGCAAUGGGGGAAACCCUGACGCAGCGACGCCGCGUGCGGGGUGAAGGCCCUAGGGUUGUAAACCGCUUUCAGCAGGGACGAAAUUGACGGUACCUGCAGAAGAAGGCCCGGCCAACUACGUGCCAGCAGCCGCGGUAAU
rnacentral:rRNA from 1 species